rnacentral:rRNA from 1 species
AUGGAUGAUCUGGAACGCCGUCUGCAGCUUGCCGUGGUGAUGUACGUCGGAGGGGCCAGACCGCUGGUGACCUGUGAGGAUGCGGCUGUUGCGAUCUCGGCGCAGCUCGGCAUUCCAAGGUUUCGUUUUUCGAUUCACAAGUUUCACCCGGAAGAUUUCUUGGUGGUUUUCGCUGCUCAUCAGUUCAGGAACAUGGCGCUGGCGGUGCCUUCGAUCGAGCACAGAGGUGUGAAGCUAUUCAUCAAGCCAUGGUUGAGGCAAGCGCAGGCAACGUCAAGGCUGAUGAGAGUCCAGGUGGACAUCAUGAUUGAGGGCAUGCCGUCGCAUGUCUGGUCGCAGGCCACGGCAGCAGAGAUUUUGGGCAGUGGUUGCUUGAUUGAGAGCUUGGCGCCGGAGACGGCCAGCAAGGAGGAUCUUUUGUUAUUCAAACUACGGGCUUGGUGCGUAGACCCUGACGACGUCCCGGUGUUCCGCAGAAUUUGGGUUCCGGAGCCGGACGGAGAUUUGGCGAGCACGGCGGCGAGACGGCCAUCCUUUCGCCAGUUGUUGGAGUACCCUGCGUACGUGCACAUAGGGCGGAUGCGUGACUGCACGCCGCCGGAGCUCUGGAGGAGGGGGUCCGGCUCGGAUGACGCUAGCGGACAGAGUGGCCUCCCGGACAGCUCCAAUGGCUCGUUCCAUGGCGGAGAAUGGGUGGUGCAGCCUUGGUCCCGCGGCGUCCGUGACAACAGGGGGCCGGCGAGCGGCGGAGCCGGUGGGGGUGCAGGACGAUCCUACCGGGCGGUUCUGGAAGGCAGAGUGGGUCCGUCGGACUGGAGGCUGCCGCACAUGGGCAUGGGGCCCGCUGCCCCCAACGUGGCCUACGUUGCGGGUCAAGCCAAGGAGUCGGGGGUGGUCAACAGAAAUUCAAACGGCCCAACAGGAGGUCAGGAUAAGCUGGUGGAAAGCCAGGGCGCGGUGGGGUUGGCAGGCACGGAGAACUAG